rnacentral:lncRNA from 1 species
GCUGUGCCCCUGCACUGCGCAGGCCCCAGCAGCUCUCCUGCUGCAACCUGGCAUUUCCACAUGCUGCAUUGCACCUCCUCCUCACUUUUGCCCGAUGAGCACACUGAUGGCAGCUAAGAAAGAUGAGAGAAUGACAGCUUGAGAGACUUGCCCACCUGACUCCUGGCUCAGCAAUGAGAAAUGGAAGUAUAGGAAGUCCCAUGGUGAAUGCUGGAGGGAGAGAGCUCUCUUAAGAGUGAAGUUUAACAGCUAAGGGAACAGUUACAUAAAAAGGAUGAAUGAGCAACAACAAAAGAGGAAGGCUGGGAUCAUAUAAUCUGAAAACUGGAACCACCAUUUAUGAUUUCCUAUUUAGAUAUAUAAGGUGACUGUGAGUGCUUGCCACAUGGUUCAGCAAGGUGAUAAUGAUGAUCUAUUAAAGUGAUGUUUUUUCUGAGAUGCUACCUCGUGCCCCAACUCCAUGCUGGCUGGGGAUAGUGGGUGUUCCCCCACGGACUGAAAUGAUGCUGAGUGCUGAAGAGUGACUCACAGACCGAAACCAGAGUCAUGGGGUAUGUACAGGACUUGGGGCUCCCUGAGACUUGCAGUAGGGCCUGGUGUGCUUUGGAUCAGGUGCAGGCAGGAUGUGGAAUGCACCAUCAGAAGGGGCUGUGUGACACAUUGGCAGAAGAAGCCUGUCCCCUUCCAUUGUCUGGCUCAAGAAUGGGUAACUGCUGAGGGGUGAGAGUCUUUAGCCCCGAUAUAGCACAAAAUAUCAAAGGUCUCGAAUUUGCUCAGCUUCUGCCAUCUCAGAUACAAUUCUCUAUAUUCUCACUCUGCCAUAUAGUUACCAGAGCUUUGGAAGGAUGAAGUUAUUAUUUAGCACAGGUUUUUAUUAUUAAUCUUACUAGAGAUUGACUGCACACAAAUUCAUAUUGAAAUCAAACGUCGUAUUUCUGAAAGGGACAAUAUAGAUUUAUGGCUGGCUAAGUGCUGAACACUUCUAAAAUCUCACUGCAAUACUGAAACUUCUGUCUAACGUGCUACUGCAUGAAUCCCUUAGCCCUGUGGCAGCUCCUUUUCUGGAUAAUGGGGAUUAUACUUCCCAAUUGGCUGCAUGGAUUCAUUAUUGUUUUUACAGUUAUUGAACAGUUACCAUUUUUGCUCUGGCUUGAAGCUUUUUAAAUAAGUCAUCAGGGCAGCUGUAUUACAAGACCAAGACAGGGAGCUGCAGAAGUGGAAGGAGGUUUGAAGGAACUGGAUUUUAAAUGGGUAUUUUCUAACUAAGGUAUCAAGCACGUCUCAAAUUCAUAUGGCUAAUUGGUGCCAAAGCUGAUGUUGGUUGGUGUCCCAAGGAACAGGGCUAGAGUCUCACAGGUGCGUUGCUUUUUCAGAUAAGAAAGCAGCUAGGGGAGAAAACAAAGGAACAGAUGAAGCAAUACAGAAGUGUUGAGAAGAAUGGAACAUUGUUAGAGCUAAAACCCUGUUAGAUGCCACAGCUUAGAUGUUAUGCUGUGUUAGGACAAGGAACAGAAAAAGAGUAACUUAUUGGUGCAGCAGGAAAAUAUGCAAUUGAUCUGUUGGAUCAUUCUUACAAAAUAAUGCUUCCUUCUGUUUGACAGUAUCUACAUAGGAGUGAUUUCAAAAUAUUUAAUUGUAGGAGAGCUUAAUCUGCAGUAGCUGUUCUGAUUAAUUUCCCCUUAGAGACAAUUUCUUUAACGAUCAGAGCUAAAGGAAUUAAAAUGAGUGUAAUUUCAAUAGAAAAUUAAGAAUACUUUGAACUUUAUAGAUGUAACAAAAGUCUGUCACCAUAGCUGCCAAGCAGUCAGCACUGAAAAACACAAAUUCCGUAGAGUGGUAGUAGUAAAGAACUACUCUCUAUUACUGCAUUCAUGCACAUUAGCAACUGUGGUGCCCAUUAUUUUCAGUAAUAAUAAUUAAAAAAAAAAAAAGCCUCAUUAAACUAAAUAAGUGACGUGUACAGUGCCCAGGAAAUCGCUGGCCUGUAGCUCUUGUGGUGUCCAGCAGGAGCAAGCUCCAAAAGCCAGAAUCCUCAAGAGAGGCAGAGUAUGUGAACCUUGCCUGCUGCUGCCCUUACAAAGGUCAUCCUCCUCUGAAACUGGAAGCAGAAUGUUUUGUCUUGACCUUUAAAUAUUACGUUUGAAUGUGAGAGAACUGGCUUUCAAGUUUCAGGCAGUCUGGAUUUAAAACAAACAAACAAACAAAAAACAACAACAACAACAUGAAAAUGUGAGGGUAUGAACUUGUAACUGUUUAGCAUUUGACGCAGCCUGGCUCGAGGACACUGUAGGACGUGAGGCCCCUGGAUUGCCAGUUCGAAUUGGCUGAGAUCAGCUGGAAUCAAAAGUUAGGCUCUGACUUCAUCUGGUUGAUGUGAGAGAAAUGCAUAGGUGGCCUCAUCAAGUUCUCAGUGCGGGAACCUAGCGGCAUUAGCUGGCAUCUCCUACCAAUAGUUUACUUUCCAUUCAGGCCUUAGCAAAUCUAUUCCUAUCUAGGAGCUGUCUUUCCAGACUGACACGCAGCAGGAC